rnacentral:rRNA from 1 species
UGACAUUGUGCUUGCACAGAUGACGACCGGCGCACGGGUGCGAAACGCGUAUAGAAUCUACCUUAUACUAGGGAAUAGCCUUUGGAAACGAAGAUUAAUGCCCUAUAGUAUGAUUACUUGGCAUCAGGUAAUCAUUAAAGGUUACGGUAUACGCUGACUAUGCGUUCUAUUAGCUAGAUGGUGUGGUAACGGCACACCAUGGCAACGAUAGAUAGGGGCCCUGAGAGGGGGAUCCCCCACACUGGUACUGAGACACGGACCAGACUCCUACGGGAGGCAGCAGUGAGGAAUAUUGGACAAUGGAGGAAACUCUGGAUCCACCAUGCCGCGUGGCAGGAUGAACUGCCCCUAUGGGUUUGUAAACUGCUUUUUAUACAGGGAAGUAUUUCUUUUCUCGUGU